CAGCGCUGCUGGCGUUCGGUGUGUGUGGGACGCGGAUUUUUAAGAACUUGGAGAGUCGGACGGGAGUGUGCGUGCCGCACCGAGUUCUCUAGUUUCUGGCCGGAAUGGCAUGUGCAUCGUCGAACGCUGUUCCUCUGAUGUACUAAUUUGUGGGGUUCACUGCACAGACAGUAAGCUCACAAACUGGACUAUGAUUUCACUGACAAUAAGUACGGUGAAUGGGAGGAGAGUGAGGAAAUUUCAGCGAGGCUGGCAUUCAAGGUAGCACUGACAGUGACUUCCUAGGGCAAAGACGGUGGUGGCACAGGCAAGUGCUAGCUAAGUAUUUCUGGACCCGUUUCAUAAAGUACUGUCUGGCCAGCCUGCAAACCUGGCAGAAAUGGGAAAGGACACUAAGGACCUUGAAGUGGGUACUGUGAUGAUGAUCGUGGACCCAGAGCCUCCCAGAGUACUUUGGCCCGUUGGCCAUGUGGUCACCGUUGGAGCUGGCAGAGAUAGACAGGUCCGGAAUGCAGAGGUACAGCAAAAAUGGACAAGGACACUAAGGACCUUGAAGUGGGUACUGUGGUGAUGAUUGUGGACCCAGAGCCUCCCAGAGUACUUUGGCCCGUUGGCCAUGUGGUCACCGUUGGAGCCGGCAGAGAUAGACAGGUCCGGAAUGCAGAGGAACAGGUGUUGCAGAGUGGAAGUCGGCAAGUG